UUAACUUGUUUUUUUUUGUAAAUCAGAACAUACAGUCCGCUGUGCAAAUAGAGUUUUUGGCGCUGCCGGCGGGGGCGGGGCGCCGGGCCCGCGCCGAAGCGCGUUUCCGACUCCACGCCACCGCCGAGGAAACAGCGCGGCAGGUAGGUAAGGUUCACAAAGGGUUUUGAAGGGUAACUUCGGUAAUGAUCCCUCCGCUGGUUCACCAACGGAGA
rnacentral:misc_RNA from 1 species